UUCUCCUGGAAACGGGUGGUAAUGCCGGAUGCUCCGACUCCUCGCAUGGGGUGUCGGGAAAGAUUUCAUCGGUAUGGGAUGGGGUCGCGUCCUAUCAGGUAGUCGGCGGGGUAACGGCCCACCGAGCCUACGACGGGUAGCCGGCCUGAGAGGGCGACCGGCCACAUUGGGACUGAGAUACGGCCCAGACUCCUACGGGAGGCAGCAGUGGGGAAUAUUGCACAAUGGGCGCAAGCCUGAUGCAGCGACGCCGCGUGCGGGAUGACGGCCUUCGGGUUGUAAACCGCUUUUGAUCGGGAGCAAGCCUUCGGGUGAGUGUACCUUUCGAAUAAGCACCGGCUAACUACGUGCCAGCAGCCGCGGUAAUACGUAGGGUGCAAGCGUUAUCCGGAAUUAUUGGGCGUAAAGGGCUCGUAGGCGGUUCGUCGCGUCCGGUGUGAAAGUCCAUCGCUUAACGGUGGAUCUGCGCCGGGUACGGGCGGGCUGGAGUGCGGUAGGGGAGACUGGAAUUCCCGGUGUAACGGUGGAAUGUGUA
rnacentral:rRNA from 1 species